rnacentral:lncRNA from 1 species
AAGUUAAAGAGUUCGUUUAAUUUUUUUAAACUAAUUUUUAUUAUAUUAUAUUAAUAAUGUUUUUAUUGUUAUUUUUAAACUGAUAAUUUUGCUUGUGGUCUACCAUUUGAUGAAUUUAUUUAUGGUCCAUCAUAUCAAGAACACAAGAUACAAUCAUAAUGUUAAUAGACUACUGGUGUUGAUUCUAAGAGAUAUGUUUGACUAUAAUCAAGAGAAUGCGAGAAAAAACGCAAAAAGAAAGAAAGAUAACAGUUAUUUGUUCUAAAAGCAUAUAUAUAAUAUCUAUAUAUAUACAUAUAAAUUUUUAUUUAACUUUUUUUUAUGCAAUGUUUAGAGCAACUUAUGACAUUAAUAAUUGCAGAAUAUAUUUAUGUUAUUAA